GACGAACGCUGGCGGCGUGCUUAACACAUGCAAGUCGAACGGAAAGGCCCUGCUUUUGUGGGGUGCUCGAGUGGCGAACGGGUGAGUAACACGUGAGUAACCUGCCCUUGACUUUGGGAUAACUUCAGGAAACUGGGGCUAAUACCGGAUAGGAGCUCCUGCUGCAUGGUGGGGGUUGGAAAGUUUCGGCGGUUGGGGAUGGACUCGCGGCUUAUCAGCUUGUUGGUGGGGUAGUGGCUUACCAAGGCUUUGACGGGUAGCCGGCCUGGGAGGGUGACCGGGCAAAAUGGGGCCGGGGUUCCGCCCCGGCCUCUACGGGAAGCAGGCGUUGGGGAUAAUGCACCAUGGGCCGGAGCCCGGCGGCACCAAGCCGCGUGCCGGAAUACCGCCCUCCGGUUUGAAACCGGCUUUGCCUUUUACCGAGCGUUAGGGACGGUUAUGGGUAAAGAAGCACCGGCUAACUACGUG
rnacentral:rRNA from 1 species